GUUUAUGUGACCAAGCAUUCAUAGUGAUAUAAUUUUUGAUCCUUCAGUAUUGGCUUCCCAUCACUAUGAAGUAGAGUUCACUAAGAGUUGGAUUGUUUACCCAUUAACAAGGAACAUAAACUGGGCUUAAACCAUUGUAAGACAGAUU
rnacentral:ncRNA from 1 species